AGGGAUGUAGCUCAGUGGUGGAGCACAAACUUUGCAUGCAAAAGGUCGCAGGUUCAAUCCCUGGUGCCUCCA